rnacentral:rRNA from 1 species
GAUAAGCCGGACUUCGGUUCGGUGGAAACUGGCGCACGGGUGAGUAACGCGUGGGAACAUGCCCAAGGGUACGGAAUAACAGCUGGAAACGGCUGCUAAUACCGUAUGUCCCCUGAGGGGGAAAGAUUUAUCGCCCUUGGAUUGUCCCGCGUCCGAUUAGCUUGUUGGUGAGGUAACGGCUCACCAAGGCGACGAUCGGUAGCUGGUCUGAGAGGAUGAUCAGCCACACUGGGACUGAGACACGGCCCAGACUCCUACGGGAGGCAGCAGUGGGGAAUAUUGGACAAUGGGCGCAAGCCUGAUCCAGCCAUGCCGCGUGAGUGAAGAAGGCCCCAGGGUUGUAAAGCUCUUUCACCUGUGAAGAUGAUGACGGUAGCAGGACAAGAAGCCCCGGCUAACUCCGUGCCAGCAGCCGCGGUAAUACGGAGGGGGCUAGCGUUGCUCGGAAUUACUGGGCGUAAAGCGCGCGUAGGUUGUUUGUUAAGCGAGAUGUGAAAGCCCCGGGCUUAACCUGGGAACUGCAUUUCGAACUGGCAAGCUAGAGUACAGUAGAGGGUAGUGGAAUUUCCUGUGUAGCGGUGAAAUGCGUAGAGAUGGGAAGGAACAUCAG